rnacentral:rRNA from 1 species
CACAUGACCGUACCGCAAACCGACACUGGUGCGCGAGAUGAGUAUUCUAAGGCGCUUGAGAGAACUCAGGAGAAGGAACUCGGCAAAUUGACACCGUAACUUCGGAAGAAGGUGUGCCUUUAGUAGGUGAACCUGUACAAGGGGAGCCCAAUGAGGUUGCAAAAAAUCGGUGGCUGCGGCUGUUUAAUAAAAACACAGCACUCUGCAAACACGAAAGUGGACGUAUAGGGUGUGACGCCUGCCCGGUGCUGGAAGAUUAAAUGAUGGGGUGCAAGCUCUUGAUUGAAGUCCCAGUAAACGGCGGCCGUAACGAUAACGGUCCUAAGGUAGCGAAAUUCCUUGUCGGGUAAGUUCCGACCUGCACGAAUGGCGUAACGAUGACCACACUGUCUCCUCCUGAGACUCAGCGAAGUUGAAAUGUUUGUGAUGAUGCAAUCUCCCCGCGGAAAGACGGAAAGACCCCAUGAACCUUUACUGUAGCUUUGUAUUGGACUUUGAACAGAUCUGUGUAGGAUAGGUGGGAGGCUUUGAAGUGUGGUCGCUAGAUCGCAUGGAGCCAACGUUGAAAUACCACCCUGGUGUGUUUGAGGUUCUAACCUAGGCCCGUAAUCCGGGUCGGGGACAGUGCAUGGUAGGCAGUUUGACUGGGGCGGUCUCCUCCCAAAGCGUAACGGAGGAGUUCGAAGGUACGCCAGGUACGGUCGGACAUCGUGCUAAUAGUGCAAUGCCAUAAGCGUGCUUAACUGCGAGACUGACAAGUCGAGCAGAUGCGAAAGCAGGACAUAGUGAUCCGGUGGUUCUGUAUGGAAGGGCCAUCGCUCAACGGAUAAAAGGUACUCUGGGGAUAACAGGCUGAUACCGCCCAAGAGUUCAUAUCGACGGCGGUGUUUGGCACCUCGAUGUCGGCUCAUCUCAUCCUGGGGCUGUAGCCGGUCCCAAGGGUAUGGCUGUUCGCCAUUUAAAGAGGUACGUGAGCUGGGUUUAAAACGUCGUGAGACAGUUUGGUCCCUAUCUUCCGUGGGCGCUGCAGAUUUGAGGAAGCCUGCUCCUAGUACGAGAGGACCGGAGUGGACACACCUCUGGUGUAUCGGUUGUCACGCCAGUGGCAUUGCCGAGUAGCUAUGUGUGGAAGAGAUAACCGCUGAAAGCAUCUAAGCGGGAAACUCGUUUCAAGAUGAGAUCUGCCGGGGCCUUGAGCCCCCUAAAGAGUCGUUCAAGACCAGGACGUUGAUAGGUCGGGUGUGGAAGCGCAGUAAUGCGUUAAGCUAACCGAUACUAAUUGCUCGUGCGGCUUGACCCC